rnacentral:lncRNA from 1 species
UAUCUAAUAAAGGACCCCCACAUACAAACUGUCGUUUAAAAUGGAAAAAAUUAUAUGAAAUUGCAGUUGGUAUUGCUAGAGGCCUGGAGUACUUGCAUAGAGGGUGUAACACUCGGAUUGUGCAUUUUGACAUAAAGCCUCACAACAUUCUUCUUGAUGAAGACUUUUGUCCAAAGAUCUCAGAUUUUGGUCUCGCGAAGCUAUGCCAGAGCAAAGUAAGUAAGAUUUCGAUGAUAGGUGCCAGAGGAACUAUUGGUUACAUAGCGCCUGAAAUAGUCUGCAGAAAUUUUGGAGGAGUAACUUACAAGUCUGAUGUGUAUAGUUAUGGAAUGAUGGUUCUUGAAAUGGUCGGGCAAAGGAAAGAUUUUGAUAUGGGAUUGCCGGAAACCAACGAGUUGUAUUUCCCGGAUUGGUUUUAUAUGUAUCUUGAGCCAGGAAAGAUUUCAACACUUCAUGGAGGUAUAACGGAAGAGGAAGAAGAGAUUGUUGAAAAGAUGAUUUUAGUGGGUUUGUGGUGCAUCCAAACCAUUCCAUCACAUAGACCAUCAAUGACAAAGGUGGUAGAGAUGUUUGAAGGCAGUCUUCAAUCUUUGCAAAUUCCACCGAGACCUUCCCUUUCCUCUCCUAGAAGGUCCGUCCAAGAUCACUCUUCCACUGUAUCAUCACUGCCUCGCGUGUCGUCCCAGGGGGGUGGGGUAAACACAUUGUCUGUAGAUGAAAGUGACUUGUAACUGGAAAUUGCAAAUUUUAUUUAGCCUUAUAAAAAUAAAAAAACAAACCUUUAUUUGUUCUUCAUCUAAGUGGUGCUCUUGGUUGAAUUAAUUUUUUCUAUGAUAUAGCUCAUGCACGGGAGGAAACCCUCUCAGUGCUGGUAAGAGACACUAUCCUCUUACCUUCAUUUUUUUUGUUCAUGAUGUUAACAAAUCCUAGUAUGUACUUGAUGUUCAAUAAAUGGGAAGUGUAGAAUUGAUCUGUUCCUGCUUGCUUGUCAUUGUUUAUAAUUUCAAAGUUUAGACAAGACUAAGAGGCCGAGCUUUAUUAUUGCUUAUAGUUAAUGUCAUCAAAGCUUCAUUGCAAUUUUCAUGGCGAACUUCAAUUGUCAUUAUAACGACCAUGAACCUGAAUGGCCAACAUAGGAGGCAUAUAAUGAAUUCAUUUAUCGAAGAUGAAAUAGCAGGAACCAAUCCCUGCUUACAAGGCUCUAGGGAAGACGAAAACAAAAGGAAGGGAGGCUGUAAUAGCACAUUACAAAUAGAUGUUCCUUUUCACCUGUACUUGAUAGAGAAAUAAAGAGUUAAGAAACCUGCUGGUAGUAGAAUAUAAUUCGGUAUGCCAUCUAACUAGUCAAAUUUAUAUCUUCAUGUUUUGAUUUCUGCUACAGGACUUUUGAAGAGACACUGGCGACUUGUCAUUACAGAAGGUAGUACAGUAAUCAAAUUUAUAUCUUCCUCUUCCUCUACCUUUUUCAAUAACCAGUGGUGGUAACUAUUUCAUGGUUCUCACAUUUUCUUAUUUUAAGCCAUGUCAGCUCCUGUGGUGCUGUUUUUAGCAGUCUUUAUCAUUCGGUACAUUUUACUAAAAGAGAAGGAUUAUUUAGUGGCAAGACAAUGACCCUCUGACGGAAGAGCACGAAGCAAAAUGAAAAGAUUAAGGCAUUCAUGGUGAACUAUCACUCUCUUAUACCAAAGUGGUAUUCAUUUUUAGAUAUUAAGAAAAUUAACAACUCAUUUAACAACAGAUUAGAUCAAGGGAGAUUUGAUAGUGUAUACGAAUUAAGGGAAGUUGCUAGGUGGGUCUUGUGGCAGUAAAAGUCCUCACUAAGUUACUGAUGGAGAAGAAUUUAUUAAUGAAGUUGCCAGCAUCAGUAGAACUUCCCAUAUAAACACAGUUAUUCUUUUGGGUUUUUGACAUGAGAGGACUGAAAGAGCCUUAAUCUAUGAGUAAAUGCCCGAUGGAUCUCUCGAUAAGAUGGUGUUUGGCAUGAUCGAUAAAAUAAAAUAGGGUAAGAAAUUCAUUAAUUCCUUAUAUAUAUAUAUAUAUAUAUAUAUAUAUAUAUAAACAAAAUUUCUUUGAUUUUUUUUUAAAAUUUUGGAACCGGGAUUGAUCCUACCAAGUCAUGAGUAUUUGGGCCUUACCGUAGAUUGAUCCUAGUGUUAAGAUUUAAAACUAUAAUGAUAACUAUUUUUAUCUUUACGUUGCUUUGAGUUAAUUCAAGUUGACCAACCUAACCGACUUUUUAGUUGAGUUUUAAAAUUAUGAUAAUAAUUAUAUUUAUUCUUACGUUGACUCGGGUCAAUGGUCAAUCCAGUUUAUGACCCGAGUUUAGUCUCGGGUCGACUCCCAAGUAGGGUUUUAAACUAUGAUGAUAACCAUUUUUAUCUUUAUAUUGGCCAGGGUCAAUGGUCAACUCGGCCCGUGACUCGAGCCUGGUCUUGGGUCAAUUCUAAAGUUAGGUUUUAAAAUUAUGAUAAUAAUUAUUUUUAUCCUUACAUUGACCUGAGUCAAAGGUCAGCUUGACCUGUGACCUGAACCUAACCCUAGGUUAACCCCCAAGUUGAGUUUUAAAAAUAUAAUAAUAAUUGUUGUAACCCAUUUUUGAGUACCCUGUAAAUCAAAUAAAAAAAAAAUAAAAAAAAUUGAACAGUGUCGUUUUGACACUGUUCCUCUUCCUGCGUGCUGCUCCACGCCAAUGACUGCAUGCUGCUCCCAAAACUUAAAGCCCCACGCCACCUGCUUGAAGACCUCACCCGGUGUCCCCUGCUCCCCACCCGCAACAGCAGCCCGCUCCUUUCUAGCCUAUAAAUACCGCUCUUAACACCAGCAGCAGGGGGGAUUUUUUUGGACGAGAGAGAGAGGGCUCUUUUGAAACUGAAAGGGAGGAUGAUUUUUGGAAGCUGAAGGGGAGGCUUUUGAAAAUUUUGAAAUGGGAGUAAAGUUUGAACCGAGGACAGCUCACCAUCUCCUUCCCCCCGCAACAACACUGUGAGAAGCAGACAGGGGAAACAAAAACAGAGGAGAACAGAGCUGAAGAAAAACACCGAGAAGAACAAAGAAGAAAGCCCAACCACCGUCCAAGUCACUCCCCGGCCGCCACUACCAGCACCUUCACAAAGCUUCCAUAAAGAGGGAAGAACAUUGCUGACUGAAGGAAACCAAGAGAAGAAGCAUCGUCUCUGCAAAAGGGAAGAAGAAGAGAAAAUAGUUGUUGUCAUCGAGCUUCCUAGCCACUACCACCGUCAGAAUCACCGUGAGCCCUCAUUGGCUUCCUCUCCACCACCACCAGCAUCACUGUGAGUGUUCGACAUCGUCUUCGCUCCUUUCGGUUCCACGUUCAGGUAAGCGUUUUGCGUCCCUGUGCAUGUGAUUUUCUUUAGCAUUUUCACUGUGCAAGUGAAUUAUAAUUCACUUGAACAGUGAAAUGCAAAUGUUACUGUUCAAGUGAAUUAUAAUUCACUUGAACAAUACCAUCUAUUACUAUGCAUGGUUUCUUUUGCAUGUUACCAUGUGUGGUUUCCUUUGCCAUUUUGUGAAUUAUAAUUCACUUGAAGAAUACCAUUUGUAUAUAGUACUAAGCAUGCACACGUGAGCUUCCACCCAGGACACUAGCUCAGGCCAGUGACCUGAUUAGGCCUGCUGGGUCCAGCCCAGCCAUAUAGGCCGAACGGGGCCCAACCUAAAAAAAUUUAAUUAUUAAAAAUAAAAAUUCUUCAAAAAAUUAUUUCGAAAAAAUAAGUGAUUUUCUGCAAUUUUAUUACUGAUAUCGGUUUGUAUUUUUAUACUGUAAAGAUACAAAUCCGGUAUUAAAAUACCCGGUUUUCAAAAAAAAAAAGUUCAUUAAAAAAAUAUAUUUUGUUUUCAUGCAUACGACCUAGUCUCUCCAAUAUAUAUAUAAAUAUUAUAACAUCAUAUUUUCACACAACAAAGAAAAUUUCAAAACAAUAUAUUUAUUCGCAUGCAUUUUGGCUUUAAUAACCAGUUUAUUCAAGCCAUGAGAACUAGGCCAAUAUUUCAAAAAUUCCAAAAACAUUAUUGUGUUUUUUUUUAGUAUUUGGGGUUACGAUCUUAUACGUAAGACGUAUUUCGAAUAUUAAAUUUUUUUGUUAACGUCAGAAUUACCCAUUAAGAUAAGGAUCUCCUUACCGAGGAUGACUUUUCUUGAACCAUACAAACAACUAGGAAACACACGAAAAGACCUUAGAUUUUAUCAGACAAUAAAACAAUGCAGCUUACCUUAAUAUAUGGCGUAAUUGGGGUGCUAAUACCUUCCCUUUACGCAACCAGUCCCCGUGCCCGAUCACUGAGACCAGUUAGGGUUCCUAGUAACCAAAAUACUAGGUGACGACUCCCAUUCCAUUUUCCACCAACAAAAAACAAUAUUUUCUUGUCUCCCCAACAUUUUCCAGAGAUUAGAUAGAUAUACACUUCCUAAUAAAGUGGAACCGAUUUCGCCGCGACACCGCACACGUGCGACAAUAAUAAUAAUAAUACUUUUUUAUUUUUAUGUUGACUAAAGUCAAUAAUCAACCCGACCUGUGACCUAGACCCGAUCCCUAGCCGAUCUUAUAGUCGAGUUUUAAAACUAUGAUAAUAAUCACUUUUAUCCUUAUAUUGGCCCGGGUUAAUGGUCAACCCAACUUAUGACUUGAGCCUGGCCUCAGGUCGAUCACAAGUUAAGUUUUAAAAUUAUGAUAAUAACGAUUUUUAUUUUUAUGUUGAUCCGGGUCAAUAGUUAACCCCACCGUGACCUGGGCCUAGCCUUAAGUCGGCUAUAAAGUUGGGUAUUAAAAUUAUAACAAUAACUACUUUUAUUUUUAUACUAACUCGAGUUAAUGGUCUCGACCCGUGAUUAUUAUUGUCCCAAAUAUCAAAAACUACCUAAAUUUAUAUCUUAUAAAGAAUUCGAGCAAAUAAAAUAGAAAGCAUACCUUGAUGAAUAACAAUCUAUUUAAGAAAAUGCAGUCCUGAAUUUAAUUUGAUGAAAAACUUUGUUUCUCUUAACUUCAAUUAUUUUCAAGUAUGUUUUGAUGAAAAAAGAUGUUUGAUAAAAAUCAGUUUUCUUAAUAAAUUUAUUAUCCCAUACAUUCAUCAAUAGUUAUAAUAAAAAACCACUUUUCAAAAUUAAUCAUCGAAGAGCCCAUUAGCUAAUAUAUAUCCAUCACAUCUUACACCCAGCUUUCAAUUUCAUGUUAUAACCAUCUCUUUUUCCUAUCUAGCGCGUGGCCCAGGGACGAUUAAAGUAAGAAAUAAUUUGGUGUAUAAAGGUCUACUAAAAGUGCUAUGCAAUCGCUUGUUUCAUUUGGCCACAUCACCUUCCAAUUUAAGCCAAACUCAAUAGUCAGCUCUUAAAUUCUUGACGAAGCCUGUUUUCGGUAUUUUGUGAGUUCCCGUUAACACAAUUUUCUAGCCAGCUCUUAGGCUCCGUUCAGAAAAAUUAUAUUUUCUUAGAAAAUAAAUUUUGAGAAAGUGAAUUUUUGGAUAGUAAGUUAUUUUUUGAUAUUUAGUAGUGUUAUGAAAAAUAAAAUAAAAAAUAUUUUUUGGUGUUUGGUUAUGUUAUGAAAAUAAUUGAAAAAUAAUUUAUUAAUAAAUCAAUUUUUUUUAAGUUUAUCUAAUAUAUAUAAAAUAUUUAAUAUAAUAUUUAAUCACUUAUAAUAAAAAAGAAUGAAAUCUAAAAAGUAUAAUGAUGAUUUUUUUUAUUAUAUCCUAUAUUCAUAUAUAGUUUAUUUUAUAAAAUAUAACUAUAUAUGUCAUAUCAUAUUAUAGAAAAAUAACAUUUGUGAAAUAUUUUUUGAGUAAAACCUAUUAAUAUAUAUUUUUUUAAUUUUAAAAGUUUAAAAUAAGUUUUUUUUGUUUUUAUAUGAAGAAAGUCAAAUUAGUUUAUAGUAAGAGUUAGAUAUUUGGAUAUUUUUUUUGUAUGAAAUUUUUUUUAAAAAAUAAAUAAAUAGAAAGAUAUUGUGAUGUGUUUUUUUGGAUAAAGAUUAAUCAUUGAAGAGCCCAUUAGCUUAUCUAUAUAUCCAUCACAUCUCACACCCAGCUUCAAUUUCAUGUUAUUACCAUCAUGCCAUAUGACUUUUCCAGCCUUGCUAGAAUAUAAGCGAUCUUUGUUUUUCCUUGCAAGUCUCCUUGACCAACAGUGUUCUGUAUGUUCCGAGAGAGUGAUGUGCAGUGCAUAGACUUUAUGUUUUCAAUAAAGCACAGCGGAGAUUAAUGUGCUCAUCAUACCUUUGCAUGCAAGUCACCUGAACUUUUAAAUAAUGCAUUUAUUUUUGUUCCUCAUUUCUUUAUCCUCUGAACUUUCCCAGAAACAACCAAGCCCAUUUUGAAACCCAAUGUCACGCAAUCGGUUUCAAUCUUCUAUUUAAUUUAAUUUAAUUUCUAUGCAUCUAUUUCUUUGUUUACUAUCCCAGUCCAUACUCAAAGUGCGUUUUUUUAUUUGUCAUAGCACUCCAAUUUGAUGUCCAAUUUUUUGAAUAAACAUUUUACUAACAUGACCAUACCUUUAAAACAAAUAAUUCAAUUUUACAGAUUUUUAAUUUUACUCCAAAAGGUUUUCUCAAACUAAUCUACAAUUUUCUCAGUAGUUGCUAAUUAUAAAUACAAGUUUGACAGUAGUUGCUAAUUAUAAAUACAAGUUUGACAGUUGGAGGAGGGCUUGUACGUAAUAGUUAUUAACUAGUUUGUUAAUAAAGAAAUAAUAAUUUUUUUAAAAAAUAAUGAAAUUAAAAUAAUAAUAAUUACAAUUUAAUAAAUUAUUUCAAAUAAAAUAAGUAACAAUCAAAAGAAUAAGAUCAAAUUUGAUAGAUAAAAAAUUUCAAUUAAAAAAAUAAUAAUAAAAAAAAGCAAAUAACAAUCAUAUAAAUGAGAAUCAAAGUUAAUAUAAAAAUCAAAUUUUAAGGGAUGAAUUUAAAAAUAAAAAAUUAAACAAAAUAUAUAUUAAUUAAAAUUUUGAUGAUCAAAUUUGAUAUAAUCAGUAAAUAAUAUAAUAUUUUUAAAAUUUUCACAAUUUCUGGAAGAUAUUUUCUUUUUAAAAUAAAAAAAAAAUACUUUCCUAUAAAUCAAACCAGAUUAAAAAAUGUUUUUUAUUAAUCAAUUUUUUUAAUAACAAACAAACCCUAUUAUUUUCUCUUAAUUUUUGUUAUUAGGUAAGAGAAAGACCCGAUUUCAUGUAAUUAUCAUCAACCACAUAACUUUCCAAACUAUGCGAGGAUUUUUUUGCGUGUCCUUUAAUAUAUUUGACCGAUUAUGUUCUCUUCUUUUAGUCCCCAUGACAGUGAUGCAUCAUAGCAUACAAAGACUUCAUUUUGCAAAUAGAGGCCUCGUCGAAAGAGAUUAGUGUGGUAGCCCUUUCCCAAGAAACAAAUAAAUGAAAAACUUUGAGUCCACCAAGCAUUUAAAUCCAAGUAUUGCGUUCACAUCUAUCCCUUUCUGAUGUAUUUAUUUACCUGAAAUUGAUAAUUAGCACGUCAAGACUCAUCUCUUUAUACUCGAAACAACCAAGCCCAUUUUGCUAGCACACAAUUCCAUUUCUCCUAUGCUACUUCCUCUUGCCAGAAUGAAUUCCUCGGCCUUUUCUUUUCUUUCAGAUUUGGUUCUUGUAUUGUUGCUCUUCAUUCAAGUCCCUUCAUCCCUAGGCAACGAUGACCUGUUCACUGCCUGUAGUAAAAAGUUUGUAUGUGGGGGUGUUUCCGCGGGUUUUCCGUUCUGGGGAAAUGACAGACCACCUGCCUGUGGCGUUCCUGAAUUGGAGCUCAGGUGUGAGAAUAAUAUCGCCAGGAUGAAUAUCAGUCAGGUUGCAUAUCGUGUUUUGGAAAUCAAUUGGGAAAUGGGAACUCUCAGGAUUGCAAGAGAGGACUCCUUGGUUGGAUUGUGUCCACCGCCAUUUAUGAACAGCACGUUCAAUCCUAAUGUUUUCGAGUCUGAUUUUGAGGGUUACAAAAAUCUUACAAUCGUUUAUGGUUGCAAGGAUGCUGCAACCAUACCUGCAGGUACAAUACCUAUCACUUGCAAAAUAAAUGAGGUUAAUGAUCAAGGUGGUUAUAUCCAAGAAGGAGAUACAGGUCCAGGGGAAUGCAAUCGUAGUGUCUUAGUGCCAGUUUCUAAAACAGAUUGGCCACCAAUCAAGGAUCUGCCAGGUUGGGAAGAACUCCUGAGAAAAGGAUUCGAGGUAAGAUUGAAGGUCGAUAGGGAGGCGUGCGGGGAAUGCAUCACCACUUCAGGAGCUUGUGGUCUAGACCACGCAACUAAUCAAACAACUUGUUACUGUCCAAAUCAAUCAAGUGGAUCAAGAACAUGUCCUCCUCCUCCUCUUGCUCCUCCUCCUGCUCCUGCUCUUCCAUAUCGAGGUAUGUACCUCAACUUCUCCUCGAAUCAGUUUAUGAUGAACUCCAGUCACUUGUUGAUGCUUCACACACCUUAAUUAGUUCCAUUCCUGUGUUGUUAUUUUAAUUUUAUUUUAAUUAGACUUGGACUGAAGUAAACAUCAAUAUGAUGACUUGGACAGAAGUGUUUGUUAAUUGAGUGUUGCCCCGAAUAUCCCCCUUUUCAAUUAAAAUAAGUUUAUGCUUUUAAAGAAUUAAUUGUUAAUUAUAGACAAUCAAAGAAAUAAAGAUUUAAGAGAAACAUUAAAGUCUAGCAUUUAACAUGUUACGAAUUUAAAAGUUUAAUUUAAGAGAUUCUUCUAGCUAGAUUUUUAUUUUUAUUUUUAUUUUAUUUUUAAAACUUAUAUUUUUUAGUUUUAUUUUAUAAUAUUUUAUUUAAUUAGAUAUUUAAAUCCAUAAUUUAUUUAUUUAUUAUAUAUAUGUAAUUUUUCACUUAUUUUAAAAAUAAAUAGAUGGUAUAUUUUUUCUGUAACAUAAUAAAUAGUUAGGGGAAAAGAGACUGUGAUUGCGGAAGGAUCUCAUCCGAUAAACAAUCUAAUCAAUAAUGAUAUUUUCAGUUGGGAUUACCAAAUCUAAUCAACAUAAAAUUACAGGGAAUAUUAGUUCGUUUAAAAAUGAAGAAAAUAAACAUAAUAUAUCCUUGAGUCAAGUCAAGUAGUGAGGCUUCGUUUGAAACCCAAUGUCACACAACAGUUUCAAUAAACUUUAUAAGAAAUAAAUUAUAAAAAUUAUAAAAUUCAAUUUUCAAUAAAUAUAAUUUUUAAAAGAUAUAAUUAAAAUUAAAAACAAUACUGUUUUAAAAAAUAAUAUUUUAUAAAAAGAGAUACAAUAAAAUCACUUUUUCGUUAAGUCAAGUGAAGUGAGGCCUCGUCUCUAUCACUGAAAUCCAAUGUCACGCAAUCGAUUUCAACCUUCUAUUUAAUUUAAUUUAAUUUCUAUACAUCUAUUUCAUUGUUGACUAGCCCAGUCCAUACUCCAAGUGCGUUUUUUCUAUUGGUCGCCUGUGGGAUAACACAGUACAUUUUACUUACGUGGCCGUAGCUUUAAAACAAAUAAUUCAAAUUUACGGACUUUUUAGUACAAAGGAUUUCUCAAACUAAUCUUCAAUUUUCUCAGUAAUUGUUAAUUAUAAAUACAAGUUUGAUAGUUGGAGGAGGGCAAUGCAAUAGUUAUUAAUUAGUAUCUUUCGAUCGGAUAAAAAUGUUUUUAAAUAUAAAAAAAAAUUGCAAGCCACAUUGAAGUCACAAUGUUACGAGUGCGGUUGGGUUUUUUUUCUUCUUAGUUAUUUUAUUUUUACUUUUUUUUUUCAAAUCCAUCAUUUUGAUUGAAAUUAUUCUUUAUUAUUAGAUUAAUGAUAAAUUAUUUUUUGUAGUUUUUAUCAUAAAAUAAAAUAAAAAAAUAAAUUGAUUAAGUCGAGUUCAUAAUCUUGAUUACGAGUUUGACAUAUUGACUAAACAUUAAUAAAAAAGUCAGAGUUUGGGUUUUUGGUAUUUUUUUUAUAUAUAUUUUGGUUUUUUUUUUUUGCCAAUUCUAUUAUUUAAUAUGAGGUUUUUUAUUGAAUUUUAUCAUUUAAUAUUGGAUUAAUAAUAAAUUAAUCUUGGUAUUUUCAAUCAUAUAAUAAAAUAAAAAUUAAUUCGAUCCAAUGAAGUCCAUAACCCAGAUUACAGGGUUGACAAAUUGACUAAAUAUUAAUAAAAAAAUUAGAUUGGAAUUUUUUCAAGUUUAAAUCAUUAUGUCGAAUUUAAUAACAAUACCACAAAGUUUUGAACAAUCUAAAUAUGGUUUCUAAAGUUUCAAAAAAUUUGUGUGUAACCUACAGCGAAAGUGCAGGUGGAUAAACUAGUAAUAAUCAAAUCGAUGUAGCAUGGUUCUUUUUUUAGCUUUAUGUCUCAUUUUGUAUGUAAAUUAAAACUUGCAAUCUCAUGUAAAUAUUUAAACUUUAUGCUUUAUAAAAAAAAAUGAGCUUUUUAUUUUUCAAGGAUGUAAUUUGAUUAUAAUUGAAGUGAGGGGAGGAGAAGUAUAUAUUUUGACAUUAAAAUAUAAUAUCAUCAACUUUAAUGUAGUUUUAGUUUGAAAGUACAAAGUUACAUAUUAAUAAUUCAGCCUCUAAAUGAAUAUAUUGUGUCAUAUAUAUGCCAUAUAAAUAAAUCUAAUAAUUACAUUUCCUAUAAAUACACAAUCUUCAUUCCAACAAUUAAUGCAGUCCCAACGCGAACUCCCUAACAUUAUUUGAUGUCCUGUUACAGGAUCUUCUUGGAGUCGUAGGCGACUACAUAGUGCUAUAGGUAAAUAUUAUCAUAAGAAAUCCUUUUUUUUGUUUGAAAUCCUUUUUUUGAUGAUGAUGCAUCUUAAAUUAUAGGCAUAUCAGCAGCUAUGGCAGCGAUAAUAACUUUUUCAUAAUUACAAUAUGUCUCACUAGAAGAAAAGGUUCAUUUAGUGCCGUCAUAGCAAAGAUCUUCAGGCUCGAAGAAUUCGCAGCAUGUUGACAGUGUUGAAACAUUUAUGAUGGACAACCAUUCUCUUACUCCGAAGCGUUAUUCAUAUUCAGAUAUCAAGAAAAUGACUAUUCGUCAAUAUACUAGGUCAGGGGGGAUUUGGUUAUGUAUACAGAGGAAAGUUACCAACGGUCGUCUCGUGGCUGUAAAAGUCUAAAAGAGUCCAAAGGUGAUGGAGAAGAGUUCAUGAAUGAAGUUGCAAGCAUCAGUAGAACUUCCCACGUGAAUGUAGUUACCCUUUUGGGUUUUGCUACGAGAGGAAUAAAAGAGCUUUGAUUUAUGAAUUCAUGCCCAAUGGAUCUUUAGAUAGCUUUAUAUUUGAUAAAGGAUCCUCAUGAACUGUCGUUUAGAAUGGAAAAAUUAUAUGAAAUUGCAGUUGGUAUUGCUAGAGGUUUGGAGUACUUGCAUAGAGGGUGUAACACUCGGAUUGUGCAUUUUGACAUAAAGCCUCACAACAUUCUUCUUGAUGAAGAUUUUGUCCAAAGAUCUCAGAUUUUGGUCUCGCGAAGCUAUGCCAGAGCAAAGUAAGUAAGAUUUCGAUGAUAGGUGCAGGGACUGUUGGUUACAUAGCACCUGAAGUAUUCUGCAGAUCUUUUGGAGGAGUAACUUACAAGUCUGAUGUGUAUAGUUAUGGAAUGAUGGUUCUUGACAUGGUCGGACA